rnacentral:tRNA from 1 species
UCAACUUUGGUGCAGUAGGUAGCAUGUCAGUCUUGCAAGCUGAAGGUCCAUAGUUCGAACCUCAGAAGGAGGG